rnacentral:lncRNA from 1 species
UGCCAGCCCGGAUGGCCAGCCAGGAUUUACUGGCCGCAAAGGAGACAAAGGAAGAGCAGGACUGCCAGGUCCAGUAGGCAGAAUUGGAGACCCAGGCAACAAAGGUCCUCAAGGGUUGCCAGGCAGAGGUGGUCCAGAUUAUGUUGACAGUUUCCUAAUAGCUAGACACAGUCAGAGCACCAGUGUCCCUGACUGUCCUCGUGGCACCAGCCUCAUCUACUCUGGUUACUCCUUCCUCUUCAUCAACGGAAAUGAGAGAGCUCACGGUCAGGACCUUGGCACCAUGGGAAGCUGUCUCCCUCUUUUCUCCACCAUGCCCUUCCUGUUCUGUGACACAGAAAGUAACUGCCGCUUCGCUUCGCGUAACGACUACUCCUACUGGUUGUCCACUGACACUCCUAUUCCUGCAAACAUGGUUUCCAUUUCAGGGGAUAGGCUGGCUUCCUACAUCAGCAGGUGGGGCAGCAACAUGCACAUAUAUACACAGACUCAUGUAUUUUUAUAAGCAAAUACAAAAUACUUUACUUUUU